GGAUGAUCUCAAUCUCCUGACCUGGUGAUCCGCCCGCCUUGGCCUCCCAAAGUGCUGGGAUUACAGGCAUGAGCCACCGUGCCCAGCCUUGAAACUAUAAUCAACUGACCUUACUUUGACCUUAUGCCUGUCUGCAGUCCUUGGUUCUCUGGGCUUGUAUUGCUGUUCCUCUAGGACUGGAGUCUUGCCUUGCUCCUCCCACUUCCUUCCAGAGACAGUGUUCUUCCAUGAACUCCAAACCGGAAGGCUAGCUCCCUUAGGGCUGCCACCAGACCCCUUAAUAACUUGGGCAAGCCUGGUCAAGAGGCAAACCAGGACACAACGCCAUCCUGGGACAAGCGUGAGGCUACAUGGGAUGGUCCAAAAGUUAGUAUCUGUCGGGAAAUUCCCUUUAUGAGAAAACUAGAUUGGCCUCAGGGCAGGUAUAGAAGCUGGAAGGUGCCAAGCUGGGCUGCAGAAGUGGCUUUUUUUUUGCUUUAUUUUUUUUGCUGAUGGGAGCAGAUGUGGCUUCUAUAGCGAGAACUUGGAGGUGAGGACCACACUGGGGUCUGCAGAGGAAGAGUGGUACAGCAUUUGGGCCUGGCAGAUGAGUGUCCCAAUACUGCUCUGCCUCUGUUUCGGGUAUUAACUGGAACCAGAAAGAGGCCACAAGAUGGCAGGCAAAGCUGGUCUUGUCUGAGGCAUGGGUGGAUAUUUCAUUUGCCUCACACUUAUCAGGAAGACGUGAAGUCCUGAGUGUGCUCCUUCAGCAUGGGGUGGGGUGUCAGGCGCUGGCUCAGGAGCUGGAAGUCUGGAACUGCAGUCCCAUUCAGCUACUAACUAGCAAAGUGCUGGCAUCAAUGCAUGUUGACUAUUAUUGUUAUGGUUGUUAUUACCUUUGUGUUGUCAAAUAAAACAUGGAAAAUGAUACAAAC
rnacentral:lncRNA from 1 species